UACGUAGGUGACAAGCGUUGUCCGGAUUUACUGGGCGUAAAGAGCGCGCAGGCGGUCGUUCAAGUCGAGUGUGAAAGCCCCCGGCUCAACUGGGGAGGGUCAUUCGAUACUGAUCGACUCGAAGGCAGGAGAGGGUAGUGGAAUUCCCGGUGUAGUGGUGAAAUGCGUAGAUAUCUGGAGGAACACCGGUGGCGAAGGCGGCAUCCUGGACUACUACUGACGCUGAGGAGCGAAAGCCAGGGGAGCAAACGGG
rnacentral:rRNA from 1 species